rnacentral:rRNA from 1 species
AUUGAACGCUGGCGGCAGGCUUAACAUAUGCAAGUCGAGCGGAGAUGAGGUGCUUGCACCUUAUCUUAGCGGCGGACGGGUGAGUAAUGCUUAGGAAUCUGCCUAUUAGUGGGGGACAACAUUCCGAAAGGAAUGCUAAUACCGCAUACGUCCUACGGGAGAAAGCAGGGGAUCUUCGGACCUUGCGCUAAUAGAUGAGCCUAAGUCGGAUUAGCUAGUUGGUGGGGUAAAGGCCUACCAAGGCGACGAUCUGUAGCGGGUCUGAGAGGAUGAGCCGCCACACUGGGACUGAGAAACGGCCCAGACUCCUACGGGAGGCAGCAGUGGGGAAUAUUGGACAAUGGGGGGAACCCUGAUCCAGCCAUGCCGCGUGUGUGAAGAAGGCCUUAUGGUUGUAAAGCACUUUAAGCGAGGAGGAGGCUACUGAGACUAAUACUCUUGGAUAGUGGACGUUACUCGCAGAAUAAGCACCGGCUAACUCUGUGCCAGCAGCCGCCGUAA